GGCCUGUUAGCUCAGUUGGUUAGAGCAUUGUGCUAAUAACGCAAAGGUCGCAAGUUUGAGACUUGCAUAGGCCG